AAGCCAAAACUGGUCAAAUACUGAGCAAUUAAAUCGAUAGUGGCUGCCAAGUUUUAAUAAAUCACGCUACUACGCACUUAAAGAAAUACUGGGUAUCAAAGAUCCGCCGUGAUCUUUUUGUGAAAAAUCCGUGUGACUCGAAAACUGAAGCGUUAAUCGUUUUAUUACGCGAUCUGAGAAGGUUUCUAUUACUGUAAAAAUUGAUUGAAGAUAUGGGAAGAGCAGAGUGUUUUUUCCCCUCCCUCCUUUUGAUGUGCCUUCUGUUGGGCCACGCCCUUGGAUCAAAAUACAGAGAAAGGAUAAAGGAGAAAAUGGAAGAGCGGUCAGAAAGAAGAGAAGAGAGAAAAGAAGAGGGAGAAGGGGCGGUUGUUGGGUGGAGACGGAGACGAAGUCUUCAGGUUUCAAGACCAGAAAUUAGCAAGGAAGAGGCAACAAACUUCAUCAAUGGAUACGACUCUGAUAUCGACUAAUUCAGGAAUUAUCAGGUUUAUCCAUAAUGUGAAUGGUGAUGUAUGUUUGUUCAUCCUUCUCGUAGAA